rnacentral:rRNA from 1 species
AGAGUUUGAUCCUGGCUCAGGAUGAACGCUAGCUACAGGCUUAACACAUGCAAGUCGAGGGGAAACGAUAGAGAAAGCUUGCUUUUUCUAGGCGUCGACCGGCGCACGGGUGAGUAACGCGUAUCCAACCUGCCCAUCACUUGGGGAUAACCUUGCGAAAGUAAGACUAAUACCCAAUGAGGUCUCUAGAAGACAUCUGAAAGAGAUUAAAGAUUUAUCGGUGAUGGAUGGGGAUGCGUCUGAUUAGCUUGUUGGCGGGGUAACGGCCCACCAAGGCGACGAUCAGUAGGGGUUCUGAGAGGAAGGUCCCCCACAUUGGAACUGAGACACGGUCCAAACUCCUACGGGAGGCAGCAGUGAGGAAUAUUGGUCAAUGGGCGAGAGCCUGAACCAGCCAAGUAGCGUGCAGGAUGACGGCCCUAUGGGUUGUAAACUGCUUUUAUAAGGGAAUAAAGUGGGAGUCGUGACUCCUUUUGCAUGUACCUUAUGAAUAAGGACCGGCUAAUUCCGUGCCAGCAGCCGCGGUAAUACGGAAGGUCCGGGCGUUAUCCGGAUUUAUUGGGUUUAAAGGGAGCGUAGGCCGGAGAUUAAGCGUGUUGUGAAAUGUAGACGCUCAACGUCUGCACUGCAGCGCGAACUGGUUUCCUUGAGUACGCACAAAGUGGGCGGAAUUCGUGGUGUAGCGGUGAAAUGCUUAGAUAUCACGAAGAACUCCGAUUGCGAAGGCAGCUCACUGGAGCGCAACUGACGCUGAAGCUCGAAAGUGCGGGUAUCGAACAGGAUUAGAUACCCUGGUAGUCCGCACGGUAAACGAUGGAUGCCCGCUGUUGGUCUGAAUAGGUCAGCGGCCAAGCGAAAGCAUUAAGCAUCCCACCUGGGGAGUACGCCGGCAACGGUGAA